CUGCUAUUAAAAUUUUCCAAAUUAUUGAAGCAAAUUUGAUUUAGUAGUUCAGCAUUCAAGCUCUAUAACUGGUUUGUAGGCAGCUUGACACUUUUAGUCUGACUACAAGGUCCUUGAAACAAUUAGAUUAAAUCUCUUCUGGGAAAGAUUCAGCACGUACAGUCCUCAGUGAAAAGACAGUAGGAAGUGCUGAGCCUCAAGGCUGAUAAUUAACACUUUGAGGGAUUGAUUCUUUACCUUCGAAUAAAGGCUGUCCACAGUGCCAGCAGGGAAGGGGCACAGCAUAGAUGCCAAUGGUUGUUUCCUGCAAAGAAGAGCAACACAGAGCCAAGACAGAAGGCAAUCUCUGCUGCAUGCUGAUCAGAAUGUAAUUGGAGAAGGAUUUCUCGCAGUCCACCUCUGAAAUGAAACACGACACAACCCUUCCAGUUUCGGAUUGCAGGACUGACCAGCAUACAUGCCUUCAUCAUGGAGACAGAUGAAUUCUACCUCCCUCUGGUCCUUCAGUGUUGGCAGACUUUCAUUUUUGGCUCCAGCAUGAGACAUAUGACUGGGAUCAGGAGCCGUCCGAACAUUCAGAACAGAAGUCAUCUCCAUCAGGAACAAAUUAAUUGUGGAAGACACAUUCCCCUCUUGCUGCUCCCUCCUUGUAGGAUGCAUACCACCACUGCAACUUUUUUUUGAGUUCAUAAUGUGCUGCUUUCUGGAUACUGAAAAAGUGUACAGGGCUCCAGUCUUGAUUUCCUUUGCCUGCACAAUCUGGACCUGCCUUAACAGAAUCAGAAUUGGAAUGAAGGCAGUGCUGCAAGCAGCCCUCUGACCGUACUCAGCAUCUUCACAAGCUCCUCUGCUUCUUCACUAUGGAAUAAAAGCUUCCUAUGUUUUGUGGCCA
rnacentral:lncRNA from 1 species